CAACUCUACAAUCCAAACACAUUCUUAGUCUAUCACGUACACACUAUGUGAGGAACAGCCAAGUACACUGGGAGGAGUGGAGGACACUGGAGAGAGGAUGAAAAGUUUCCUCUGCAACUCCUCAACUCAAUUUCAUGCACCACCAACCACAGUCCCUCACCACAAAUAUACAGUUACCAACACUCUCAAUUGGCCUCAGAAAACCCUAAUUGGUUCUAUUGCUGGGACUAUCUCCUUUGGGCUCCUCAUUUCUUCGCCUAAUUCUUCCAUAGCGUUCGAGUCUCCCUCGUCUAUCCAGAGCUCAUCUUCUUCAACGACGACGGAGUAUUGUCGCGAAGAGGAGAUUAGAGAAGAGAGGUAUGAGAAAGCUCCUGAAUUGGUGACGAAUGAAGAGAUUGUGGAGGAAGCUUGGGAGAUUGUCAAUGACAGCUUUCUCGACACCGGUCGCCAUCGAUGGUCCCCUGAGAUAUGGCUGCAAAAGAAAGAAGAUAUUUUAGGCACGUCCAUUCAGACAAGAUCAAAAGCUCAUGAUAUUAUCCGGCGGAUGUUGGCAAGCUUGGGUGACCCUUACACACGUUUUCUUUCUCCGCCGGAGUUCUCCAGGAUGGCGAGGUAUGACAUGACUGGAAUUGGAAUAAACCUCAGGGAAAUUCCAGAUGACAAUGGAGCUGUGAAACUAAAGGUUUUAGGGCUAAUAUUGGAUGGCCCUGCCCAUACUGCGGGUGUGAGACAGGGAGAUGAAGUCUUAUCUGUUAAUGGAGUGGAUGUGAGGGGGAAAUCUGCCUUUGAAGUCUCUUCUCUAUUACAAGGCCCCAAUGAAACAUUCGUGACCAUGAAGGUCAAGCAUGGAAACUGUGGGCCUGUAGAAUCUAUUGAAGUUCAGAGGCAGCUUGUCGCUCGGAGCCCUGUCUUUUAUCGGUUGGAACAAAUGGACAGUGGUGCAACUUCUGUUGGUUAUGUUCGCCUAAAAGAGUUCAAUGCAUUGGCUAGAAAAGAUUUGGCUACUGCAAUGAAGCGACUUCAAGAAUUGGGAGCCUCAUUCUUUGUUCUUGAUCUCAGAGAUAAUCUCGGUGGACUUGUACAGGCUGGCAUUGAAAUUGCUAAGCUCUUUCUAAAUGAAGGGGAGACGGUAAUUUAUACAGUUGGAAGGGAUCCACAGUACCAAAAAAAGAUCACUGCAGAGACAGCACCCCUGAUCACCGCUCCCGUCAUUGUUUUGGUGAACAAAAAUACUGCUAGUGCAAGUGAAAUUGUCGCUACUGCACUUCAUGAUAACUGUAGAGCUGUUCUUGUGGGGGAAAGAACUUUUGGCAAGGGCCUGAUUCAAUCUGUAUUUGAACUUCAUGAUGGGUCUGGUGUGGUGGUCACUAUUGGGAAGUAUGUAACGCCAAAACACAUGGACAUAAAUGGAAAUGGAGUGGAGCCCGAGUUUCUUAAAGUUCCUGGUAAGAAACUUGCAUGCUUUUUUGCCAGAGAAAUGAAAUUGGUUCCCACUAAUCUACAUAACCUCCCAUUUGCAGCUUGGAAUGAAGUCACGAAGCAUCUGUCUGAAUGCCAUAUGCAACAACAGGGAUAAAACAAAGAGAAACAUGUGCAAAUUUGGUAUGUGAUUUAUUCAGCUUGCUCAUUGGUGCUCUGAUUCUGAGCUGAUAUUUGGCUACGAUGACCUGAUUGAUACAUGUACUUCCGUAUUCAGUCUUUUGAUCCUCCUCUUUCCUAAGAACCAACAACGAAGAAAAUACGUUGAUGGAUUCAGAGUCUGGGGAGUUCAGUCAUACCAGCACCGACCAAAAAAAGAGGAUUGAAUAUUUCAUUAACUGAUUCAAUGAAAUAAUUGUAAAAACCAUCCUAGUGUAUUACAAGAACCAUUUAAAGAAGGUGAUACUAACUUUAAAACCCAACAAACAACAAUUGGUUCUAUAUUCCAGCACUUUUCUAACCUGGUACUUGAGUAAUUUCAAUUUAGCCGAGGAGAGCAAUGUGAUGUAUAAUGUACAUUCGUAGUGCAUUAGAGUUAUAAUAGUCUGACUAGUUGUUAUCCCAUAAAUUUGAACAUGUCAUUUUGAUAUAUAUCACGUGUCUAACCUCAGGGGCUUCAUGGAUUUGAGUUCCAUUUAAGUUUAAUUGGAUUUUGUAAAGUAAGAUGCAUUCAUCAAUAAAUUUCAGUUCUGACA